rnacentral:rRNA from 1 species
UAAUGGCUCACCAAGGCGACGAUCCCUAGCUGGUCUGAGAGGAUGAUCAGCCACACUGGAACUGAGACACGGUCCAGACUCCUACGGGAGGCAGCAGUGGGGAAUAUUGCACAAUGGGCGCAAGCCUGAUGCAGCCAUGCCGCGUGUGUGAAGAAGGCCUUCGGGUUGUAAAGCACUUUCAGUCGUGAGGAAGGUGGUAUAGUUAAUAGCUGCAUUACUUGACGUUAGCGACAGAAGAAGCACCGGCUAACUCCGUGCCAGCAGCCGCGGUAAUACGGAGGGUGCGAGCGUUAAUCGGAAUUACUGGGCGUAAAGCGCAUGCAGGUGGUUUGUUAAGUCAGAUGUGAAAGCCCGGGGCUCAACCUCGGAAUAGCAUUUGAAACUGGCAGACUAGAGUACUGUAGAGGGGGGUAGAAUUUCAGGUGU